rnacentral:lncRNA from 1 species
CAGUGCGCGGGUGGGUGGGUCCUAGCAGCGCGGCCUGACGGGACCAAGGCGGCGGGAGUCUGCGGUCGUUCCCUCGGCUGUGGACCGGGCGGCACGCACGCGGUGCAGGGUAACAUGGCGGAUGCGGAAGUAAUUAUUUUGCCAAAGAAACAUAAGAAGAAAAAGGAGCGGAAGUCAUUGCCAGAAGAAGAUGUAGCCGUGAGUAGUAAUGUGUUUGACUUCACUUUGACUAAAAAGAAAGUUUACUUAAAUAACAAACUAAAGGAAAGAAGUGUUUUUAAAGGUUUCCAAGGAAUGGGCCAGCAUUGGUAGUCAUUGUGUAGAUUCGAAAAAGCACUGAAAUGACACAGCCCCAGACAGUCCAAGUGUCCUUCAGGCAUAGCUUACUAAAUGGUGCUGGCCUUACCAACUGCUGUCUCUGAAUUUGUCUUCCUUAUGCCACCCACAGACCCGCCAUCCCCCUUUCUCUUUAAAUGUUUGGACCCAUCUUAGUGACAUUUCACUUCCCCUCUGUACUCCUGGUUCAUUUCUUCUCUCUCUUUCCCUUGGAGGUCCCAGUGAAAAGGCAUAGGAAGCCUUGUUUUCUG